rnacentral:rRNA from 1 species
GACGAACGCUGGCGGCGUGCUUAACACAUGCAAGUCGAACGGAAAGGCCCUGCUUUUGUGGGGUGCUCGAGUGGCGAACGGGUGAGUAACACGUGAGUAACCUGCCCUUGACUUUGGGAUAACUUCAGGAAACUGGGGCUAAUACCGGAUAGGAGCUCCUGCUGCAUGGUGGGGGUUGGAAAGUUUCGGCGGUUGGGGAUGGACUCGCGGCUUAUCAGCUUGUUGGUGGGGUAGUGGCUUACCAAGGCUUUGACGUGUAGCCGGCCUGAGAGGGUGACCGGCCACAUUGGGACUGAGAUACGGCCCAGACUCCUACGGGAGGCAGCAGUGGGGAAUAUUGCACAAUGGGCGGAAGCCUGAUGCAGCAACGCCGCGUGCGGGAUGACGGCCUUCGGGUUGUAAACCGCUUUCGCCUGUGACGAAGCGUGAGUGACGGUAAUGGGUAAAGAAGCACCGGCUAACUACGU